rnacentral:rRNA from 1 species
UACGAGGGGGGCUAGCGUUGCUCGGAAUUACUGGGCGUAAAGCGCACGUAGGCGGCUUUCUAAGUCGGGGGUGAAAUCCUGGAGCUCAACUCCAGAACUGCAUUCGAUACUGGAGAGCUCGAGUCCGGGAGAGGUGAGUGGAACUGCGAGUGUAGAGGUGAAAUUCGUAGAUAUUCGCAAGAACACCAGUGGCGAAGGCGGCUCACUGGCCCGGUACUGACGCUGAGGUGCGAAAGCGUGGGGAGCAAACAGG